rnacentral:piRNA from 1 species
UGCCAUGAUGAUAAUUGACUGAAC